AUUUAAAACCGGAUGUUAUAGUAACAAUAUUCUCUUCUCAUCCUUAUAUCUUCCCCUCCUCCACUCAUGGUUUGAUCAAUGUUUUCGAAUAUUGGACAACAAAAAAAAAAACUUUAAAUUAUGACAAUUAAUUUCCGCCAAAUAUUCCCCAAAGUCAAAUUUAAACUAAUUUCAAGGCAUUUAAAUUAUUCACCACAAAAUCUACAUAGCUGCGAUGCACAAGCGAUGGUGGGUGAGAAAGAGAGAGAGAGAGAUGGUGCGCCCACGCUAAAUAGAAUGCUUUAAAUAAAUCAAUGUGCCUCGGAAAAUAUAUCAUCAAAAUCCUUGAGGAAUUUUUGCCGAGUCAUUAAUGUGUGCUGCCACAAAUACAAACAGCAAAACCGGAAAUAUUCGCAAACUUGCAAAAACCGGUAGGCAUCUGAGUAUCUCGUUUGGAUAUUCGAGAACAGUCUUAAAUUUCUGGGAAAAUUGCUGCCGUGUGGAGGAGUUGAGAAGGAGUGUGAAAUUAACACCAAGAAGUAAAACUAAACUUGUAAAAAUAGGAAGCGAUUAAUACGACGAUGUUAAUUACCAAAGUGAGGGGAAUAUUAGUCAAUAGCAUACAACUCCAUAUGACUACACUUUGCAAUAUUAAUUACAUACCUCUCGUGAUCUAAUUUGGAACAGAUUGGAGUGACCAGUCAACUUGGAGAAUGUAAAGGGCGAUUGUUUUCUAUUAUCUAUUUUUCCAGCACUCUUUUUGUUUCAACGCCUUCAUUUUGGUCUAUACUUAAGGCGUGAAUUGUCUUACGAAAGAACAACGCUUGCAAAUCAUUGAAUUUUAUUCCUUAUUAUGGUCAGUUUAAUCGAUCAAAUAAAGUGGUUAUUCGCUUCCGUAGAGUAUGAACUGAAGAAAACAGCGCAGCUGUAUCGCCCAGUUGGCAGCAGUUGGGCCUUUCUUACUCAACGGCGUGGAUAAUGCUGGGGAAGAAUUUAGUUGUGAAGCCUUUCAAAAUACAGCUAUUCACCGAAUCGGUAGAAAUUUCUGAAUAGAAAUAAACACUUUCUGGAAUAUUUCUAUUUUAAAUUCUUUGACCUAAACAAAUCUAUAAAAUAUGUGUAUAUUUGCACGUGCAUAUAUGAACGUUUUUCAAUCAAAUGGGCUGUAAUUUUGAAUUCGUAACUUUUAGAAAUCAAGCAUUUAGUUAUGUCCACCUCAUGAAUGAGCGCAACUUAACUUAUCUUUUAUGAUCACAAAAUAUUGACCAUUUCCUGGCCGAAAAAGUAAAAUUUUUUAAAUUUGCCUGGCUACAUCGGUUUUCGGUUU